UACGUAGGGUCCGAGCGUUGUCCGGAUUUAUUGGGCGUAAAGAGCUCGUAGGCGGCUUGCUAAGUCAGACGUGAAAUCCCUCGGCUUAACCGGGGAACUGCGUCUGAUACUGGAUGGCUUGAGAUUGGGAGAGGGAUGCGGAAUUCCAGGUGUAGCGGUGAAAUGCGUAGAUAUCUGGAGGAACACCGGUGGCGAAGGCGGCAUCCUGGACCAACACUGACACUGAGGAGCGAAAGCCAGGGGAGCAAACGGG
rnacentral:rRNA from 1 species